rnacentral:lncRNA from 10 species
GAGCACCCAGGAUGUGUUUUCAUUGGUACGGAAUUAGCUAGCCCUGGGAAAGACAGUCCCUCCAGAGUUAGCAACACCCCAAGAUGUCAAAGAUAAAAAUGCAAAAAUUAAAACUCCAUGAUUAACACAACUUUGAAGUCCUUCUCACUUGUCUUUAGAUGAAGGGCAACAUCAUUGCAACAAGUCACACUUUGAGAACUCAAGAGAAUAUGUUUGUUCUGAAAAUCCAGGAAUUAUUGCCAACCCAUGGUUGUCUCCAUAUGUCUUGGGAAAAAUAGGAAAAGGAUUUUUUGAGUUGGUGAUUUGAAUCCAAGACACAAAGAUUCAGGCUCUGGUAAAAAGAUUGUAUAGGCUAUAUUGGCUGACAUAAAAGAGACAUAAAAGGCACACAAUGAAAUCUUAAUAAAUGUAUUGGAUGUUGCAGCAUUAACUGAUGAGCCAGACAAUGUAAAGACCUCAGACUACCAAAUGUUUUGAAAGACGAAUAGUGAAUGUGAAACUGUGAACCAAAAUAGAUUUUUAGAAUCCUUGAAAAAAUAGAGCUAGAGAAAGUCUUUGAGACCAUUGAUUGCAAAUAUUUGAGUUUACAACUGAGCAAAUGGAGAAAAGAGAAGUGACUCGUCAGUCCAACAAGUGGCAGAAUCAGAACCAGACCCCAAUGCUUGGGUCUUCUGUCCCUCCUGGCACCAAAGUCACCUAUCAUAAGUAACUUGAGUUUCAGAGGGGAAGGAAAAGACUACAAUGUCCCAGCACUGUUCCAGACACUUUUUAGGGGACUCCAAGACACCUUGUGUAAUGCCUAUUUUAAGUAGCUGGAAGAUUCUAUAGCAUGGGAAAAGCCCACUGAAGGCAAAAGUAAACAUUACCUAUUGUGGUCCUGGAAAAGAAAAUCAUCUCUCAUUUAUCUCCUGGAGCUGUUUGACGAACUUGUGCCCUGGUUUUACUUUGGGAGCCACCUUUCUCUUUCAGGUGCUGUCUCAGUGGAAUAGUCAACCAAUGUAUCCUACAUUUUGGACCAGCAGAAGGAAGUAAUGAGAACAGAAAACAAAUAAGAAGUGAGUUGGAGGGAGAAGGAGACUUUAGCAUCUUCCUGAAAUCAGGAAGAAAGUUUCAAGAAUAAAGUAAUCCAUAGGGUCAAAUACUGCAGUAAGUUUAAUUAGGAUGAAGACUGCAAAGAUGGUAUUAGUUUGGUACUUAGGACAUUGGUGACCUCCACAGGUGACUUUCAGGAGAAUUAUCUGGGGAACUUGUUGAUAGAAUUUGUGAAUCUCCACCUUUAGGGAUUCUGAUUUAGAAGGAGUAGGAAGAAGGCCUUAGGAUCUCCAUUUAUAACAACCACUACUGAUUAUUUUGAGGCAGGUAGCAUACAGACCACAUUUGAAAGAAACACUAGGUAAGUGUGAUUUUCAUUCAAAGGACAAAAAACAUAAAGUUACCUAAUUCAGGGACCAUUUCAAAGACCAAAUCAAAUCAGUAGCCUGGCUGAUCUGAUCGACUGCGCAGAAACUAGCCAUUACCAUGGCAAAGUGGGGAGGAACAGUCAAUAAAAAGCAAUUGAUGGCCAGGCGCGGUGGCUCACGCCUGUAAUCCCAGCACUUUGGGAGGCCAAGGCGGGCGGAUCACGAGGUCAG